CGGAGGGUGCAAGCGUUAUCCGGAUUCACUGGGUUUAAAGGUGCGUAGGAGGGCAGGUAAGUCAGUGGUGAAAUCUCCAAGCUUAACUUGGAAACUGCCGUUGAUACUAUCUGUCUUGAAUACCGUGGAGGUGAGCGGAAUAUGUCAUGUAGCGGUGAAAUGCUUAGAUAUGACAUAGAACACCAAUUGCGAAGGCAGCUCGCUACACGAAUAUUGACUCUGAGGCACGAAAGCGUGGGGAUCAAACAGGAUUAGAUACCCUGGUAGUCCACGCCCUAAACGAUGGAUACUCGACAUACGCGAUACACAGUGUGUGUCUGAGCGAAAGCAUUAAGUAUCCCACCUGGGAAGUACGACCGCAAGGUUG
rnacentral:rRNA from 1 species